rnacentral:lncRNA from 1 species
UAGUUCCCGAUAAAGCUCUAAUUUGACCUUUUUAACUUGAUUUUUGUCUCGCGACUAAAAUACUUGGAAUUUGAGACUCACCUAUGGCUAAGGACUAGCAAAAAUAUUAAGGAAUAAGUGUAUUGAAAAACAAAAAUGUCCAUAGAAGCAAAUUUGGGAGAUAUGAGGUCAAACUCAUGAGGCAUGCACAUGAAAGAUAAUUUUGAUCUUUUGGGCUUAUGUGGGCAAGUGGGCCAAAUGUACCCAGAUGAAGCCCAAACCAAAACCAUGUCAUAACUAUCUACCAAAAUAUGGAAAGCAAAUAUUUACUCAAAAAGAUUAAGAAUUGAGCAAGUUAUGGAGUUUUGAAGUAAAGGUAU